CCUACGGGAGGCAGCAGUGGGGAAUAUUGGACAAUGGGGGCAACCCUGAUCCAGCCAUGCCGCGUGUGUGAAGAAGGCCCUCGGGUUGUAAAGCACUUUCAGUGAGGAAGAACGCCUGGUGGUUAAUACCCAUCAGGAAAGACAUCACUCACAGAAGAAGCACCGGCUAACUCCGUGCCAGCAGCCGCGGUAAUACGUAGGGUGCGAGCGUUAAUCGGAAUUACUGGGCGUAAAGCGCGCGUAGGUGGCUUGAUAAGCCGGUUGUGAAAGCCCCGGGCUCAACCUGGGAACGGCAUCCGGAACUGUCAAGCUAGAGUGCAGGAGAGGAAGGUAGAAUUCCCGGUGUAGCGGUGAAAUGCGUAGAGAUCGGGAGGAAUACCAGUGGCGAAGGCGGCCUUCUGGACUGACACUGACACUGAGGUGCGAAAGCGUGGGUAGCAAACAGGAUUAGAUACCCUGGUAGUC
rnacentral:rRNA from 1 species